UACGAGGGGAGCAAGCGUUGUUCGGAUUUACUGGGCGUAAAGAGCGUGUAGGCGGCCCGAUUAGUCCGCUGUGAAAGUCCAGGGCUCAACCCUGGAAUGCCGGUGGAUACUGUCGGGCUAGAGUCCGGAAGGGGCGAGUGGAAUUCCUGGUGUAGCGGUGAAAUGCGCAGAUAUCAGGAGGAACACCAAUGGCGAAGGCAGCUCGCUGGGACGUGACUGACGCUGAGACGCGAAAGCGUGGGGAGCAAACAGG
rnacentral:rRNA from 1 species